CCCUGGGACGAGAGGCUUCUCUAGAGUGCAUCCGCUUCUUGUUCCAGGUUCAGCU
rnacentral:miRNA from 1 species